rnacentral:rRNA from 1 species
AGAGCGAACGCUGGCGGCAGGCUUAACACAUGCAAGUCGAGCGCCCCGCAAGGGGAGCGGCAGACGGGUGAGUAACGCGUGGGAACAUACCCUCCGGUUCGGAAUAGCUCAGGGAAACUUGGAUUAAUACCGGAUACGGCCUAGCGGCGAAAGAUUCAUCGCCGGAGGAUUGGCCCGCGUUCGAUUAGCUAGUUGGUGAGGUAACGGCUCACCAAGGCGACGAUCGAUAGCUGGUCUGAGAGGAUGAUCAGCCACAUUGGGACUGAGACACGGCCCAAACUCCUACGGGAGGCAGCAGUGGGGAAUAUUGGACAAUGGGCGCAAGCCUGAUCCAGCCAUGCCACGUGAGUGAUGACGGCCUUAGGGUUGUAAAGCUCUUUCGCUAGGGACGAUAAUGACGGUACCUAGACAAGAAGCCCGGCUAACUUCGUGCCAGCAGCCGC